UUGGAGGGCAAGUCUGGUGCCAGCAGCCGCGGUAAUUCCAGCUCCAAUAGCGUAUAUUAAAGUUGUUGCAGUUAAAAAGCUCGUAGUUGAAUUUCGGGAUUCUACCGUUGGUCGGGCUAUCCAGUCUGUACUAGCGUGUAGAAUUUCUACCUUCUGGGGAACCAUCAUGUUAUUAAUUUAGCGUGGUGGGAAACCAGGACCUUUACCUUGAAAAAAUUAGAGUGUUCAAAGCAGGCUUACGUCUGAAUACAUUAGCAUGGAAUAAUAGAAUAGGACGGUGGUCCUGUUUUGUUGGUUUCUGAAUCACCGUAAUGAUUAAUAGGGAUAGUUGGGGGCAUUAGUAUUCAAUUGUCAGAGGUGAAAUUCUUGGAUUUAUUGAAGACUAACUUCUGCGAAAGCAUUUGCCAAGGAUGUUUUCAUUAAUCAAGAACGAAAGUUAGGGGAUCGAAGACGAUCAGAUACCGUCGUAGUUUUAACCAUAAACUAUGCCGACUAGGGAUCGGACGAUGUUAAAUAUUAUUGACUCGUUCGGCGCCUUACGGGAAAC
rnacentral:rRNA from 1 species